AGUUCGAUCCUGGCUCAGAUUGAACGCUGGCGGGAUGCUUUUUACACAUGCAAGUCGUGAACGGCAGCACGGACUUCGGUCUGGUGGCGAGUGGCGAACGGGUGAGUAAUGAUCAAACGUGCCUAGUAGCGGGGGAUAAUCCGCGAAAGCGUAGCUAAUACCGCACAACAUCCCUCCGGGAAAGCGGGGGACCUUUCGGGCCUCGCACUAUUAGAUGCGUCUACUAUCGGAUUAGCUAGUUGGUGGUAACGGCUCACCAAGGCGACGACUGCGGCUGGUUUGAGAGGACGACCACAUUUUCACUGGGACUGGAGACACGCCCAGACUCCUACGGGAGUUACAGUGGUGCAAUCUGGGACAAUGGGGGAAACCCUCAUCCUGCUCAUCCCGCGUGUGUGAUGAAGGCCUUUCGGGUUGUAAAGCACUUUUGGCAGGGAAAGAAUGCACGGAUACACCUUCGCAACUGACGGUACCUGCAGAAUACAAGCACCGGCUAACUACGUUUCAGCAGCCGCGGUAAUACGUGAAAGCAAGCGUUAAUCGGAAUUACUGGGCGUAAAGUGUGGUGCGCGGUUUCGAAAGAAAGAUGAACCUAUUUAAUCCUUGAACCGCAUUUAACUACCGAGCUAGAGUGUGUCAGAGGGAGGUGGAAUUCCGCGUGUAGCAGUGAAAUGCGUAGAUAUGCGGAGGAACACCGAUGGCGAAGCAGCCCGGGAUAACACUGACGCUCCGCACCGCGCUGGGAGCAAACAGACUAUUACCCUGUAGUCCACGCCCUAAACGAUGUCAACUAGCUGUUGUGCCUUCGCCUUUGGUAGCUGCGGGCUAACGUUAUGAAGUUGACCGCCUGGGGAGCGCUGGUCGCAAGAUUAAAAACUCAAAGGAAUUGACGGGGACCCGCACAAGCGGUGGAUGAUGUGGAUUAAUUCGAUGCAACGCGAAAACCUUACCUACCCUUGACAUGUGUCUGGAAUCCUGAAGAGAUUUGGGAGUGCUCGCAAGAGAACCGGAACACAGCGGUGUCGUCGUCGUCAGCUCGUGUCGUGAGAUGUUGGGUUAAGUCCUGCAACGAGCGCAACCCUUGUCAUUAGUUGUUACGAAAGGGCACUCUAAUGAGACUGCCGGCGACAAACCCAGAGGAAGGUGGUGAUGACGUCAAGUCUCAUGGCCCUUACAAUAUGUUCACACGUCAUACAAUGGUCGGGACAGAGGUCGCCAACCCGCGAGGGGGAGCCAAUCCCAGAAACCCGAUCAGUCCGGAUCGCAGUCUGCAACCUGGACUGCGUGAAGUCGGAAUCGCUAAUCGCGGAUCAGCAUAAACGGCAAAGAAUACGUUCCCGGGUCUUGCUCACACCGCCCGUCACACCAUGGGAGUGGGUUUUACCAGAAGAAGUUAGUCCCAACCUCGUAAGGAGGGCGAUUACCACGGUAGGAUUCAUGACUGGGGAAGAAGUCGUAACACAGCAA
rnacentral:rRNA from 1 species